UCCUUGGUGGUCCAGUGGCUAAGACUCUGCACUCUCAACGCAGGGGACCCAGGUUCAAUCCCUGGUCAAGGAA
rfam:Ovis aries breed Texel chromosome 3, whole genome shotgun sequence.